rnacentral:rRNA from 1 species
GACGAACGCUGGCGGCGUGCUUAACACAUGCAAGUCGAACGGUAAGGCCCUUCGGGGUACACGAGUGGCGAACGGGUGAGUAACACGUGGGUGAUCUGCCCUGCACUUCGGGAUAAGCCUGGGAAACUGGGUCUAAUACCGGAUAGGACCCUGGGAUGCAUGUCCUGGGGUGGAAAGCUUUUGCGGUGUGGGAUGGGCCCGCGGCCUAUCAGCUUGUUGGUGGUGUGAUGGCCUACCAAGGCGACGUCGGGUAGCCGGCCUGGGAGGGUGACCGGCAGCGCUGGGACUGAGAUACGGCCCAGACUCCUACGGGAGGCAGCAGUGGGGAAUAUUGCACAAUGGGCGCAAGCCUGAUGCAGCGACGCCGCGUGAGGGAUGACGGCCUUCGGGUUGUAAACCUCUUUCAGCACCGACGAAGCGCAAGUGACGGUAGGUGCAGAAGAAGGACCGGCCAACUACGUGCCAGCCGCCGCGGUAA